AUCAGUUCGUUUCAAUAUUUCUUACGUUGUUACUUGUGAGUCCAAAAAGAACAGCCAGCACGCCACGCCACGCGUUAAUUCUUUGUCCGUUUCAGUCUCAAUUUCAACAUUCCUUCCCAUUUAUCUUCCCGGAAAAUCAAAUUCCCAAACCCUAACUAAUUGGGAAAAAAAAUAAAUUCACGAUGAACAUCUCGCUAAUCGCCGAUACAGCUACCAUAGCUGCACAACAAACCCUAUGUUCUGGAAACUCGCUGCUCCUCCAUCGCCAAAACCGCAUCAACCUCGCAGAUCAAUCCUCCCAAAUCUGCACCGUCAUCGUCGAUGUCUUGGCUUCGCCGCCUGUCAAAUCCAAGACCUCCCGUCGCACCAUCCUCCGGAAACGGCGGCGGACCAGGAGUAGAUCGAAAACUUAUGGAGAUGCCGGUGAUUGGGGAGAGGAGUAUGGUUUUUUUGGCGGUGGAGGCGGCUGGGGCGGUUUUGGUGGCGGCGGCAGGGGGUGGAAUUUCGAUAAAUUCGGAGGGCAUGAUUGGGAUGAAUCUUCGGGGUGGUUUUCCUCGCGGUCUUCGGAUUUUGCUUACGGGUUUGUUUAUGAGGUGAUUUAUUGGAUUGCCUUGUCGAAUUGUGUGCAUUUUGCGUUUAAGAAGGUUGUUAGGCUCGUGGCUGAUGGCAUUGGUGAUACCGAGAGAGGGAAAGUGGUGCCUUUGAGAUUGGGUACCAUUUGCUAAUUCGGUAACUGGAAGGGAAUUAUGCUUGAUAUUGGUUAAGAAUUUGCCAAUACAAGUCUUACUAUUGGAUACAAAUGUUGUCAACAAGGGCUAUUAUCUGGAGUGGGUGGAUAGUCAAGUAGUAUCUGGCACUUGAUCUAUUAUCUGUCAUGAAGAGUUAGACAGUGGUUACUCAAAGGCUUGGAAGAAUGGUAAUACAGCAGUUGAACAAGAGUUGAAAAACCACCCUGGCCUCUUAACUGUCUAACAAUGCUAUGUUGCAGCUAUGACCGCCCGAUGCCUGUAGACCACGGCAUUUGAUUGCUCUUUAAUUGCUUAUGUUACUUUUGCGCCAUAGCAUCUCUAUAGUUGAAGAUGAUGUAUCAGACGCCUUGCUGCCUAGAGGUUCUUUAAUUUCUUAUGUAAAGGGCUUGAAGCUCUGGUGCUGAUGAUGUUUUGGAUUGAGGCCUUUUGAUAAUAAGAUAUCAAUCAGCUUCCAUGUUGGAAAUUGGAGUGUUUUAAAUCUUGUGAGAGAAAGAUUUCCAAGAUUGUGGGGCAAUAAGAAAAAGUUUUUCAUGCUAGACGAUUGCAGUGAAUGGUAUGCAUCUGACCAGUUAGAACCAUUCUAAGACACUCAAAAGGCUGUUUCAGUAAUGUUCUAUUCUCCAAACUCCAUUCUUUGGAUUACAUAUCAUCGCACAUUUUCUUUCAUGAGCUGAUGGGUUUCUGCAGUUUUUUUCUCAAAUGUUCUCUUUUUUCUGGCGUGUUUUCUCUUUGUUUUUUUACAAUUGUGAACUGUUAAUCGCAUUUUCAGGUUUCAUUAAAGUGUUGCACGCUUGCUCCUUGUGUGGCGUUGCACACAUAUGCAGGUGCAGAUGCAUUUACUAAUUGGCUUUCAUGUGCCCUGCGCGAUAAGACCAAAUAGUCUGAUUAGAUUUUGUUGUGGUAGAUGCAGACAGUACAGUUUCACAAGUUUAUAUAUUCUGCAUAGGAACUGAACAUAAAUGUGGUAUGAUUGACCUGUUUGGAGCUGGGAAAUACUUGGUUACGCUUACAAUCCUGAAUAAUAACUUUAGAAUUCCAGGUCUCAAUUCUGCAUAGUUUUGAUGGAAGGAGUACGCAUCAAAUUCGUGGCAGUGAUCUACGAGAUGGGUUUUUGCAGUGGGAGCUCGCUGGAUGCUGCCAUGGAGAAAUAUCAAGGAUUAUCUCAUAGCAAAUAAGCAAUACUAUCAAUUGAUUUCUAGAAUGAUAAUAACUUUAUAUUGAUAUGGGAGUUUUAAUUAGGGACAACAAUGAUUGAGUUGGAGUUGGAUUUUGCUCCGUCCAAAAACAGUUUAAAGGAUUAUCUCAUUACAAAUAAGCAAUACGAAUUUCCAUAA